rnacentral:rRNA from 1 species
GAACGGUGGUACUAAGCAUACGACAAGUAGGGCGGGACACGAGAAAUCCUGUCUGAACAUGGGGGGACCAUCCUCCAAGGCUAAAUACUCGUAAUCGACCGAUAGUGAACCAGUACCGUGAGGGAAAGGCGAAAAGAACCCCGGGAGGGGAGUGAAAUAGAUCCUGAAACCGUGUGCAUACAAACAGUAGGAGCGGACUUGUUCCGUGACUGCGUACCUUUUGUAUAAUGGGUCAGCGACUUACAUUCAGUGGCGAGGUUAACCGUAUAGGGGAGCCGUAGAGAAAUCGAGUCCGAAUAGGGCGACAGUCGCUGGGUGUAGACCCGAAACCAAGUGAUCUACCCAUGGCCAGGAUGAAGGUGCGGUAACACGCCCUGGAGGUCCGAACCCACUAAUGUUGAAAAAUUAGGGGAUGAGCUGUGGGUAGGGGUGAAAGGCUAAACAAACUUGGAAAUAGCUGGUUCUCUCCGAAAACUAUUUAGGUAGUGCCUCAAGUAUCACCAUCGGGGGUAGAGCACUGUUAUGGCUAGGGGGUCAUUGCGACUUACCAAACCAUUGCAAACUCCGAAUACCGAUGAGUGCGAGCUUGGGAGACAGACAUCGGGUGCUAACGUCCGGUGUCAAGAGGGAAACAACCCAGACCGCCAGCUAAGGUCCCAAAGAUUGGCUAAGUGGAAAACGAAGUGGGAAGGCUAAAACAGUCAGGAUGUUGGCUUAGAAGCAGCCAUCAUUUAAAGAAAGCGUAAUAGCUCACUGAUCGAGUCGUCCUGCGCGGAAGAUGUAACGGGGCUAAGCCAGUCACCGAAGCUGCGGAUAU